GCAGGCUGAGGACUGAGGAGCUCAGUGUCAUUGUGUGAUUGGCAGUGUUUGAUCGCUUGCUGUUAGUGUCAAUACUAUCUCUGCGAUACGAUUAAGAUUGAAGGACAGUUUAUACUUACUGCUCUCCAAAAUCUGUAGUGUGUGACAGACCUGUAAUAUUUGGUAAGGUUGGCUAAACAGUGAUACAGAAAGGGUCGUGUGUUGUCAGCAGACGGGUGAGCAGAGGUGCCGCCAGCAGGUCGUCCAUAUUUGUCAUUAUCUUUCUCACUCAUUCCAAGCCAAACAUGUCACCAAAUGGAGCUGCAAGUGCAACAUUUCAUAUCUAGUGAAAUAGCAACAAAUAUAAGGGAAGAUAAGCUGAAAAUAAGGAAGAAUGAAGGUGAAAGAGGCAGCAAAUCAGAGAACACCACGCCAUGACCAACUACCAGUCACCAUGCAGUGAGUGACCGCUGCCCACUGGUGAUCUUCCUCUUCUUUCACUACCAAAGGAAAACUUGCGCCGGUGCCUCUCCUUAGCGCCCGUGUGGACGCCCUGGUGUGUGUCGCCUUCCCCAGCAGACUAGGCGAGUGGCGAGAUGAGCGUGUUGCCAACUACAUCAUUAAGCAAGCAGGGUGUGAGAAUACAGCCUGUGUGUGCUCCACCACUGCAGGAGGAGAAACAGCUUGUGAUAAGAGGAAUACAGUCUUGUUUUGCCACCAGUCACUACCAGAUACUUGAUGCAUCCUUUGUCUUCUCCAUCACUCACCAGUGUGGCAAGAAUACAGGCUGUCCUUUGCAUCAGUCCACAGUAAGGAGUGAGUGCAGCCUGUGUCACCAGUACCUAUCACUGUGCAGCGUGACACAAGGGCAGUGUCUUGUGUCUGCUGCAUCACUACAACAGGUUCAUAAUUACAGCCUCAACCUGUUUCACAAAUACACAUACCAUUCUCUUCUUAACAUUGCUCCAAUCUCUCCUGUACAAACCUCUGCUGUUUUUUUACAAGAGACCUAUGAAGAAAACUAGAUUGAACUAUACAAGCUAAGAGUAACAGCUGGGAUGCUAGAUGGAGGAUGAUGUGGGAGGAGGGAGGGGAUGUAUUUGGUUACUUCAGCUUUAACCAGCCAUCAUUAUGCCUCCACAGGUGUACAUAGUUCACAGUCCACAGUUGUGUCCGUCUGCCAGCCAUCAAAAGAGGAAUACACACAAGACCUCGGCCAAUGUGAGAAGCGAUGUCAGGACACUGCUGGCCAGUGAAGAAGUGCCAAUGCUCUCACUGGUGUCCGCUAAGCUUUUUUUUUCUGUGAAUAUUGUUUGUCACUAUUCUUUCUGAUCCUAGUCAACAAAGUGUCCCGGGAACAUCUAAUCCCUAAAUUAGUAAAUGUUCUCAGUACAUUUGGUGUGGGAUGCAAGUUAAGGAAAUUCAGUAAAUGUUGCCUUGUUUAUCUAAGGGAAUGAAAAACUUGUAAUUGUGGAGUCUUAUUUUCAGGUUUUGAGUAGAGUUUUAAAAUAUUCUUUCAGGAAUCUUUGUGGUGAGAGACUCGCUUCUUGAAGUGAUGUGAAUGGGUAAGCCUGGUGAGAGCAGCAGCAGCGGCAGCAAGAGUGGGAGGAGAGCUGGGCCGACUGAAUGCACUUGGGUCUUGGUGGUGCCGUGGCUUUGGGCGUCCUGCCGGGUGGUCACUCACCAGCUGUUUCAGUGAUAAAUAUAUACAGCCAGGCUGGCCAGGGAGUGAACUCCAGCACAGCACUCACCAGCAACACAAAACCCAAGGUAUGAGUGACUCUGGUCGGCCAUGACUGCUCCAACUCCUUACAAAGCUGGCGUGGGUGUGGUGAGAUUGGCAAGGUCUUGAAUCUCAUUCUGCCUCAGGGUCGUUUGAUUUGUCAAGUUUGUGGUCACUGUAUUAGUAAAUUAAUAUGUAUUGAGCAGAAAUACUUAAAAGUAUUUUGGGGUUGAUUUGAAGGAAACUUUGAUUCAGAUUCUGCAAGAUGAGGUUCUUUGGUCCUCUGCUGUGUCAAGUCUGCUUGCCAUCCAAACUAUUGUGUAGCUCUUGACUCUACCUAGGAAACUAAAAAUGAAGGAAGCAAUGCCACUAACUUUGAAAUGUAUUGAUAAUAAUGUAUAUGUACGUACACUUUCUUUGAGAUACAGUCAGACAUCCACCAUACUUCACAAACCACAAAGCAGUAAUGAAGAGAGGGCGUAGCAAUAAAUAGAUAGAAGACGCUGACGUCACCACAUACAGACUCCCAUUCACGGUCUGCAGCGUCUCCUCCCUCUCAAACCACAGCUCCUGAGUCUGCCACAGCAGAAGCCUCACCUUUAGGGAUCAGAGGACAUCUGCCAGCGGGACAGACUCCUUGCUGGUGGUGAGAAGGAAGAAAACGCCUACAAGUGACUGGUGUGACGCGAGGUCUUGGUGUAUUCUCAGACAGUGGUGACGGAGAGGAGGCCCUUCACCAUCUGCUGGUUGGCCUGGUGGGGCGGCGGGGGCGGAUUGAGGGGCACCAUGGGGGUCCUCGUUCCAUAGGCCGGCUCCUCCACUUCCCGCUUCCUGGAGGAGGGAGGCUUUCUGUGGGAUGCAUCCAGGGUGGCUGAAGUCUUCCUCCUGCUGGAGUGGUCUCGCCACAGUGCCUGGUGGAGGCCAUUCUCCAGGGUGCUGGGGCGUGGGGGGGCCGGCGCUGGGUCAUCAUGGGGAAGGUGCACUGGGGUAGCCUGAGACUGUGCUGGCUGGGGCUGUGGCUGUGGUUGCUGUGGCUGCUGUUGUUGCUGUUGCUGCUGCUGCUGCUGUUGCUGCUGCUGCUGCUGGCGACGCAGCAGCUCAUGACGCCGUCUCCGCUCUCGCUCUUUUUCCAGAUGACGCUUGCGCUCCUCUCGACUCCAGUAGCGACCAAGCUGAGGACACGAGGGUAGAGGGUGAGGAAGGCCAGCUCAGAGAAGACAAGAGGGUGAGGACCAGCCACCAGUGUGAUGAGACAAGAGGGUGAGGAAGGCCAGCCACCAUAGCAAUCAGUCACCAAUACCAGUCUGGCUAAGGAAGGGAUCUACUGACUGGUGAAGCUAUGUGCCAUGGUGCCCUGAGGAAGUGGUCUGUGACUGGCUGGUGGUGGGCUGUGUUGCCUCACUGACCCUCACUACACCAACCCUCAGCAUGACACCUGAACUCACUCACCAGCCUGCUUGUGCUGCUGGCCAGACUCACCAGUGCUUCCCUUCAACCGUCAGCCACACCACACUACCACACUCAGAAUCUUGCUCCUGACCGGCCGCUGUGUGAUAUAGCGUGUGCCGUCAGGUCUGCGCUUCACCUGCCCAGAGAAGCAAAGGUUGAGUACACGAGGGAGAGAAACUGACAGACAUUUCCUUCCUACAUGUGUGGAGGAGGGACAAGAAUGGCGAAGAGAGAAGAACCUGUGUAGCUUGAGUAUAUGAGGGAGAGAAACUAACAGGAAUCUCCUUCUAACAUAGAACAAUCCACAGGUAGUUGCAGAAGAGGGGCAAGAGUGGUGAAGAGAGAACCUAUGUGGCUGUGUGGGUGAGGAGAGAUGUGCUGGGUGUCAAGGUUGAAGAUAGUGAGAGUGCCAUUGGAACAGCCUAAAGAGGGAGUUUUGUAGGAAGUUCAGUAAAGAGUUCAAUGAUAAAAGCCUGUAUUGGAGGAAAUGUGUGUGUAUUUUUACAGGAAUGAGUGGAACUUGUCAAAAUUUUAGAACCUUAUAAUUAUAUUUCCUUAAACUGUG